UAGCAACAGACAAACUGGCUCCCCUCUUGGAGGGAUGGAUGGUCAAAGACUUGCAUUCUGUUCCAGAAAGAGAGGGAACUCGUCCCUAGAAUGGAUUACAUCACUUCUAGUAGAGCAAAGAAGAAAGCCGUGUUUCUGUGUCACAACUCACUGACCAUUCAUUCCCUGGUUCCCAGGGUGCUGUGUGUCUUUGGCAACUGACUAAUCAGCCUUGCUUUGUGGCACUGAAACAUCAAAUGCUUGAAGGAUAUCUAACCACAAGAUCCAGGCAUGCAGUGUCAGUCCUGGAGAGCCUGGAGAAUGAUCACUGAGCUGGGCCUGGCAGAGAGGGUCGGAAGCAGGUGAGGUCAAGUGCUUCUCAGACUGCGUGGCUCUGUGGAUCCCCAGGAGCCACGUGGAGGGUUUGAGGCAUUGACUGAGCAGAAUCCUGCACUUGCCAGGGGCCUGGAGGAACCCCACCCACCUGGAUCCUUUGCCAAAUGGGCAGCUUCCCGCAUCCUGAUCCCAAUGGUGACUAUUUUUCCAGCCUGAUACUCGAAAAUUGAGUAUGGAAAUAUGUCCUGUACGGACACCUGAUGCACCUUGUGCCUCUUCCGUUCUGGGAGACCAAAGGAGCUAACCUCAGUGCAGGUGUCAAGAAAGGGGACACUGCACGUUAUUCCUCUGUAGAAGCGGAGCUGAGAGAGUCAGAGGAGAGGGGUGAGGCCCAGGCUCUGCCCUCUUGGGGUUUACAGGCAUGGAUCUCAAAAGACCACUGGGUAUGUUAACCCAGCUCAGAUGCUGCCUGCUCCAGGCAGCCUUCCUGAUUGUUGAUCUCCUCCUCUGUGCCUUGUACCUGCUUCUAUCAUUGCACCCGCGACCCUGAUUAAUAAGGGAUCUGCUCACACAGCUGUCUCCUACCAAAUCUGGAGUGUCUUUGGUGGGGGUGGCAGAGUGGGGCACGCAGUGUUUGCCUUAGGGCCUGGCACACAGUAGGUGCUUUGUAAGUGCUUCCUGAAGGCAAUAAUUGGUGCUGCUGGAUUCGCAGAGGCUGAUUGACCUCAGAGCUGAUGGAGCAUAAGCUUCAGGGCGCUGGCCCUUUACGUGCUCACAAGACCAUGUGACUCUGUACAAUUUGUAAAGUAAGAUAUUCGUGUAUUCUUUUUCUUAGAGAGGGCCUCUCCCAAAUUGCAUGAGCUUCAGGCCCCACACAGGACCUCGCCGAGGGAAGGCUCAGAGAAGCGGGUUUUGGAUCUGGGGUUCGAGAGGUGGGCUUAUACCAGUCAAGGGGGAGCUGACGCUUCUUUGGGGGCCAGGAGGACAAGGAGCCACCCGGAUUUAGGCCGCGGCUGAUGGCCUGGGGCCAGAGGGUUGCAGCUCCUGGGCACUUCUGCUACCUUCAUUCCACUGCCUGGCCCCUGAGAGGGGGCGAACUGCCCCACAGACCCCUCAUGUUUUCCUCACUUGCAUUUCCUCUGUCCUUCAUUUCUUUGUCCUGCUGUCCUUGACCAAGCCUGGGGUUUCUCCCGAGGGGGUUGUGGUCCAUAUUAGGGGAAGAAAUUUCAGGAACCAUCCUGUUCCUUCUCUUUCUCUUUCUUUCCGCAAUCACCAUCCUCUUUGACGCCCCCCAUCCCCACCCCAUCAACACUUCGGCUUCGUCAUUUCCCUUCUCUGAGCCUCAACAGCCUCGUCUGUAAAAUGGGCAUAAAAGCCCACCUUGUGAGGCAUUUGUGAGGGUCGAAGGGGGCAGGUGUGAGGAAAUGUUUGUCACCUGUCAAGGGACGUUCAGGCACGAGCUCUUGUUCUGACAACCAGGUUUGACCUUCCUGAAAUCCACAAACGUCCCCCAGCGCUGAGGGCCUUCCUGGUGGGGCUGACCUGCAGGAGCCUGGAAGCCAGACCCGGGUUCAGAGUCCCUGUGACCUCCAUCUCACUUCCCAGCCCUCUUUCCAGAGACCUGCCCGGCUUCCAGUCGGUUGACGUUAAUCAUAUUUGCUGUGAAUAGUCACUGACCUAUAAUUGCAGCCUAUUAACUCUGUUUUCCCCUUUCAUUUGCACACAUGAAUUUUACCCUACUUCCAAAAGCAAAUUACAGGUUGGAAAUCAGAAUAUAUCAAAGAGGGGUGAAAAGGUUGGAGCAGGGUGACCGCUGUAUAAUGAAGUGUCCAGUGAUAACAUCCAGGCUGGGCCAAGAGAGCAUCCACUUUGGGCCUGUGUUCAUUCAGGUGCCUGGGGGGUGCAGGGGGACAUCUCAGGCUGGGCUUCUCUCCAGAGACCAUGGCUUCUGAGCCUCAAGACGUGGCUGGGCAGAGAGGUGGCAGUGGAGGUAUAACGUAGUGUGAUUCUCCCACAGACAUUCGUGGGCAUUGGCUGGGUGCCCGGUUCCACUGCGCUUUUUUGUCUGAGCAAAUUGGGAGGAGGGAAGAGGUAGAGCUGGGAGUAUGAAAGGCUCUGAACUAAUGUUCUCGACUUCCCCUUGCAGCUGGCAUGUGGGACAGUGGGAAGGACUGGGGUUAUCACAAAAGCUGCGUUCUUUCUAUCUGGAUGGAAAAAGUUGCUAGUUUAAUGCUCCUCCUUGACGGGGUAAUGUCAAAGGAUUAUAGACUUCUAGCCCUAAAAGGACCUCAGAUACAAGCAGGUGUGAUGUCUCCAUUUUAAAGAUCAGGAAAUGGAGGUUUCUUCCAAAGAGAGCUCCUCCGCUGCCUUGUGGGCUCCUUGAAGGCAGGUUUCUCUCUAGUCCUGCGGGAGCCUCUGUGAGCUAAAGAAAAUUUGGAUGGGUGGGUGGGGUUACAAAUACAAAUACCUACGGGGGCCAAACCUGCAGCAGAAACGAGUGUGCCAGACUGAGGAGGCAGUAAAGAAUUGUACUCAUGUCUUCAUUUAUUUAGCAAAUACUUGUACGUCACUCGCUCUGUGCAGGCACUGUUGUAACUGCUUUACGAGUAUUAACUCAUUUCAUGGUCAUAGUGGUCCUGUGCAGUGGGUGCCAUGGUCAUCCCCAUCCUACAGAUGAGAGAACUAAGCAGAGAGAGACUAGGGGGUCUGCCCGAGGGCCCUCAGCUGCUAAGUGGCAGAACCAGGCUGCGAACCGGGCAGAGUGGCAGGAGCCAUGGCGAGUUGGAGCCAGCACAGCCUCCAGCCCAGGCCCCCGCAGAGGGGCAGCCUCCGCUCCACCACAGCCCCACGUGGCCAGAUCCUCCAACUUUUCAAGAGAUACUGGAAAUCCACAAUUGUACGUGAAAUUUUAAAAAGUUGACUUUAAUUUUGUAAGCAUUGUGUGGCUCAAAGAAAAUGCUGUUUGGCCUGGGGGGUGCCAGUGUGUGACCCCUGCCAGAGAGGACGAGGAAGAUGGGACCGAGGAGGAAACAGGAGGGAGGGGAAGGGAGAGAACAGAAAAGGAAGAGUGAAAGGAGGAGUUUGGAGCAAACUUAUGAUAAUCACCAUUCAUUCAACAAGCAUUUAUUAAGCACCUACUAUAUGCCAGGUGCUGUGCUGGUGCUAAGAAAACAGAUUUGAAUGAGAUGUGGACCGUUGCCCCCGGAAGAGCUUAUAGCUGUGUUCUCAUCUGGUCUGAAUUUUAAGAUGAGAGAGCUGAGGCAGAAAGAGUCCCCCCACCAUGGCUCAGAAGGCCUGUGCUCUUCCAGCUCUGAGCCCGGCUCACUGCCACCUUGGGCAGAUCGGCCGACCCCUCGGAUAUGGCUUUGCUUCUUAAGGGGCAGGGGCCGAGUGGGCACGGCUUUCUCCGCCCACUUGCCUUUGCAGUGGCACAAGUGGCCACACCAAGCCUGGUGUUGGCCCUCCUAAGAAUCACAGGGACCUACCCCAGCAUCCCCAAGCACUGACACCAGGUACUUUGACAUUCCAGCUGGUAGCUUCUCCCUCUGCACUGGGCCUGUAAUUCUGGAAGCUGCCGCCAGGGGGACGGUGUUGUCAGUAUUACCUGACACUGGGGCGAGUUGCUUAGAAAAGCAGGACCUGCUCCAGCCCAGGCUCCUGCUUUGUCUCCGAUGACCUGCCUUUGAAGCCUGGAAGUCCAGCAUUCUUCACCAAACGAAGUGUGGGAGCCUGCGGUGGCCCCACAUCCUGGAACACAGAGGCAGAGAGACCCUGUGGCUGCUGUCCCUUCGAGGGGAGCUGGUGGCUUCUCUGCAAGAUGCCAGCCUGAUGGGACUGCAUGUGGACAUCAACACCGUCACUAUCACCAUCCCAAAUCCAAG